GGGGAAUAUUGCACAAUGGAGGAAACUCUGAUGCAGCGAUGCCGCGUGAGGGAAGAAGGUUUUAGGAUUGUAAACCUCUGUCUUCAGGGACGAAAAAAGGACGGUACCUGAGGAGGAAGCUCCGGCUAACUACGUGCCAGCAGCCGCGGUAAUACGUAGGGAGCGAGCGUUGUCCGGAAUUACUGGGUGUAAAGGGAGCGUAGGCGGGAUCGCAAGUCAGAUGUGAAAACUAUGGGCCUAACCCAUAAACUGCAUUUGAAACUGUGGUUCUUGAGUGAAGUAGAGGUAAGCGGAAUUCCUAGUGUAGCGGUGAAAUGCGUAGAUAUUAGGAGGAACAUCAGUGGUGAAGGCGGCUUACUGGGCUUUAACUGACGCUGAGGCUCGAAAGCGUGGGGAGCAAACAGGAUUAGAUACCCUGGUAGUCCACGCCGUAAACGAUGAUUACUAGGUGUGGGGGGACUGACCCCUUCCGUGCCGCAGCAAACGCAAUAAGUAAUCCACCUGGGGAGUACGACCGCAAGGUUGAAACUCAAAGGAAUUGACGGGGGCCCGCACAAGCAGUGGAGUAUGUGGAUUAAUUCGAAGCAACGCGAAGAACCUUACCAGGUCUUGACAUCGUAUGCAUAGCUCAGAGAUGAGUGAAAUCUCUUCGGAGACAUAUAGACAGGUGGUGCAUGGUUGUCGUCAGCUCGUGUCGUGAGAUGUUGGGUUAAGUCCCGCAACGAGCGCAACCCUUACUGUUAGUUGCUACGCAAGAGCACUCUAGCAGGACUGCCGUUGACAAAACGGAGGAAGGUGGGGAUGACGUCAAAUCAUCAUGCCCCUUAUGACCUGGGCCUCACACGUACUACAAUGGCUGUAAACAGAGGGAAGCAAAGCCGCGAGGUAGAGCGAACCCCUAAAAGCAGUCUUAGUUCGGAUUGUAGGCUGCAACCCGCCUACAUGAAGUCGGAAUUGCUAGUAAUCGCAGAUCAGCAUGCUGCGGUGAAUACGUUCCCG
rnacentral:rRNA from 1 species